rnacentral:rRNA from 1 species
CCUAACACAUGCAAGUCGAACGGUAACAGGAAGCAGCUUGCUGCUUCGCUGACGAGUGGCGGACGGGUGAGUAAUGUCUGGGAAGCUGCCUGAUGGAGGGGGAUAACUACUGGAAACGGUAGCUAAUACCGCAUAACGUCGCAAGACCAAAGAGGGGGACCUUCGGGCCUCUUGCCAUCAGAUGUGCCCAGAUGGGAUUAGCUAGUAGGUGGGGUAACGGCUCACCUAGGCGACGAUCCCUAGCUGGUCUGAGAGGAUGACCAGCCACACUGGAACUGAGACACGGUCCAGACUCCUACGGGAGGCAGCAGUGGGGAAUAUUGCACAAUGGGCGCAAGCCUGAUGCAGCCAUGCCGCGUGUAUGAAGAAGGCCUUCG